AUCCGGAUGGCGAGUCCCAAAUAAGACGAAAUGCGCAUCCUGGAU
rnacentral:hammerhead_ribozyme from 1 species